rnacentral:rRNA from 1 species
AUUGAACGCUGGCGGAAUGCUUUACACAUGCAAGUCGAGCGGCAGCACGGGGGCAACCCUGGUGGCGAGCGGCGAACGGGUGAGUAAUACAUCGGAACAUGCCCAGUCGUGGGGGAUAACACUUCGAAAGAAGUGCUAAUACCGCAUACGUCCUGAGGGAGAAAGCGGGGGAUCGCAAGACCUCGCGCGAUUGGAGUGGCCGAUGUCAGAUUAGCUAGUUGGUGGGGUAAAGGCCUACCAAGGCAACGAUCUGUAGCUGGUCUGAGAGGAUGAUCAGCCACACUGGGACUGAGACACGGCCCAGACUCCUACGGGAGGCGGCAGUGGGGAAUUUUGGACAAUGGGGGCAACCCUGAUCCAGCCAUUCCGCGUGAGUGAAGAAGGCCUUCGGGUUGUAAAGCUCUUUCGGCAGGAACGAAACGGCGAGCUCUAACAUAGCUUGCUAAUGACGGUACCUGAAGAAGAAGCACCGGCUAACUACGUG